rnacentral:rRNA from 1 species
CGGACGGGUGAGUAAUGUCUGGGAAACUGCCCGAUGGAGGGGGGUAACUACUGGAAACGGUAGCUAAUACCGCAUAACGUCGCAAGACCAAAGAGGGGGACCUUUGGGCCUCUUGCCAUCGGAUGUGCCCAGAUGGGAUUAGCUAGUAGGUGGGGUAACGGCUCACCUAGGCGACGAUCCCUAGCUGGUCUGAGAGGAUGACCAGCCACACUGGAACUGAGACACGGUCCAG